GACGAACCGUGCCAACGUUGUUCGGAAUCACUGGGCUUAGAGGGCGCGUAGGCGGCUUGCCAAGUCGGGGGUGAAAUCUUUCGGCUCAACCGGAAAAGUGCUUUCGAUACUGGCGAGCUAGAGCGAGGUAGGGGCAGCUGGAACUUCCGGUGGAGCGGUGAAAUGCGUUGAUAUCGGAAGGAACGCCGGUGGCGAAAGCGAGCUGCUGGACCUCUUCUGACGCUGAUGCGCGAAAGCCAGGGGAGCAAACGGG
rnacentral:rRNA from 1 species